rnacentral:rRNA from 1 species
UACAGAGGGUGCGAGCGUUAAUCGGAAUUACUGGGCGUAAAGCGCGCGUAGGCGGCUUUUCAAGUCGAUUGUGAAAUCCCCGGGCUUAACCUGGGAACUGCAGUCGAGACUGUCUGGCUAGAGUCCGGGAGAGGAGAGUGGAAUUCCUGGUGUAGCGGUGAAAUGCGCAGAUAUCAGGAAGAACACCCGUGGCGAAAGCGGCUCUCUGGAACGGUACUGACGCUGAGACGCGAAAGCGUGGGGAGCGAACAGG